ACAGCUCCAGGGAACGCACUCAAAAGUGGGGGGCAGGAAAGGAACAAGGUUGAUCUGGGCAUGAAGUUAAACAGGAUAUUGCUUUCAUCUACUUCAGCCAAAUCUCAAAGUCACUGACCUAAGAAAGACCUCCCCAUCUACUUUGAUAAAAAGCAGAGUUGAAAAUGCUUAGAAGUCAUCCCUUCUGCGGACAUUCUCCGAUCUUUUCAUUUUGCAUUAGGUGUACCUCCUCUGUGAACAUCUGUAGUAUCCUGUGCAUACUCAGAUGCUUAUUGAAGAUAACAGUUUCUGCGUAUGGGAAGUAGAUAUUGAAGGGUAUAUGGUUUACAGACAAGAUCUUUAAAAAAUAGACACUCAAGGUAAGUAAUAAAUAUAGCCUCAUAAAUAAGCUAAUUUAAAUGGUUAGGGCUGCCAAAUUAUAAUUUAAUUUGCUAAACUUGCUUACUUUUUGUCACUGGCCCUGUCUAAGCAACCUCACAACCGCAUUCAUUCAUAUUUGGAAACAAAUUUUUAUGCCUUAAUACCAUCUUGACAGGAAGUAUCAGAUUUCAUUUAUAAUGGGAAGUUGAUAAAAUUGAUGUAUUAUGGAAGAGUGCAAACCAAUUAAGAAGACUGGAGAAGAGAUUAAGUAAACUUCCGUCAAAACUGUGUGCAUAACUCAGUAGAGUUUAACUUGAAAAAAUAAUUUUACAGAAACUAGUAUCCACUGUAUUUUUUAAAUUUAUUUAUGUCCUUAACCAUAUUAAAAGUGUGUUUUUUAACCACUCCAAAAACACUGUCAUAGUUUCAGAUACUAAUAGUAUUACCUCUGAAUACCAAACCUCUUUUUCACUAUUUCUUGAGCCCCCAAAGAUUUGUUUUGACUUACCAUAUCCUUUCACUUAUAUUCUGUGCAUGUCUCCCAUGACUGUUUACAUGCUUAUGUUACUGAGUAAAUUUCUGAAUACACUUGGUAAAAUUUUGAGUGAGAUACAAAGAAUACAAAAUGCAAAAUGGUACUUUAAAUAAUUUUGUGUGUCAGGUAGGUACACUGGAACCUUGGAGAAUAUGUGACCUGUUAAUGGGGCACUUUUGUUUAGCUCUAGAAUCCUUUCUAAGUGGGAAUAUUAGACCAGUAAAAUCAAAUUUUGUUAUUUUUUUUCAGAAGAAACCAGAAAUACUUUGAAAAGUCCUAAUUUUUCAAUAUCAGCAUAAAAUUUUUCCUGUGACAAACUCCACUUCUGCUACUGUGUGAAUCAAAUAAAACAGUAUACAGCCUCUGGUGCAGGAAUUUUUUUUCCUUUGCUCUCUAUUUUUCUUCUUUUUGAGUGUAGGUACUUAGAGUCUAUCUUUUCCCCUUAAUUUCUGGUUAGCAGCUUAGUGAUUUUUGCUAGUUUUCUGUGAUGAAUAUUAUUGUCAAAAAUGACUUCUCUUGAAAAUAUAAAUAUUACUUAUUUUUAAUUUGUUUCUAUAGUUUUAUAUGGUGAGUUGGUUGCUUAGAAGAGCUAUUAAAUUGUUUUCUGAAUUAUAAUAAUUAGAGUUAUUUUUAUAGUUCCUUUAUCUCCACAGUCUAACAUAGAUCCUUCUGAUUUAAAAAAAAAAAAAAAGGUUUCCUUUUUUUUUUUUGCGGUACGCGGGCCUCUCCAUGUCCCCUGCAUUGGCAGGCAGGCUCUCAACCACUGUGCCACCAGGGAAGCCUAAGGUUUCCUUUUCACUGUACCUUUUGCAUAGAAAAUAGAGUUAAUCACAUUCCUUAGUUCACAUGACACACUGUCAUCACUGGUCCAUGAGAAGCACUUUAUUUAUUUAUAUAUUUUCUUUUAUUCUCGUUUCCACUCUCAUGCUGCUGACCUGGACUCAUAGGAAAUCAUUCUAAUGUGAUAGUCUAAUAUCUGUUGCACUGUUCUCUUUUGUUUAUAUGUAUUUUCAGAACAUGAGUAUUCGUUUAUAUAUAUGUAUUUUUUUAAUAUUUUAAGUGGAAAUUUUUAAAUAAAUAAAAAAGAAAAGAGAGUGUAAUAUCAUGAACUUUCAUGUGCCCGUCUCUCAGCUUCAACAGUUAUCUCACGGUUGAGCUUGUCUUAACUAUAUCUUAUGCCUUCUCCCCCACUUAUGCACAUUAAAUUUUAAUAUGCAUAAAUGGUAUUGUGCAACUCAUUCUCUUUAUUACUGUUUCAUUUUACUUAUCUUUACAUUUUUGUCAUUUAUUUAUGUUGUUGUGUUUACAUUGCUUCUAACUGCUGCAUAGUAUUCCAAGGUUUGUAGCUAUCAUGUUUUAACGAUCGACAUUUCCAGUGAUUUCCACCCAGAUUGCUUCCAAUUUCCUGUAGUAACAAACAAUGCCAUGAUGAACAUCCUCAUAUUUCUCCUAGCAUAGAACUUUGCAAGGAUUUCUUUGGGAUAUAUACCCAGGAACAGAAUUGCUGGGUUUAUACUUAAUUUGUCUGAGUCCUGCCAGAUGCUCUGCCAAAUAAAUACUUGGACCACACUUUCACCAGCGGUAACCCCCUCCUUCCUGCCAACCCUUGACAUUAUCUAGCUUUCUAAUACUCUCAAUCUAAUGUGUGUAAUUCUAUAGCUCACUGUUUUAAUUUGAAUUCUUAUCACUAAUGAGUUUGAGUAUCUCUUUUAUAUUCUUGUUGGCCUUUUGGCUUCCCUCCUCUGAAAUUCCUUGUUCCUAUUCUUUAUUUUUCAUUUGGGUUUCUAUCUGUUGGUUAAUGUUCUUUAAGAGUUUAUUAUAUAUUUUAGAUCUUCAUUUCCUAUCAGUUUUAGAUAUUAAAAACAAUCUUCCAUUUUUUUCAACUUUUUAAUUUUAUGCAUAAUGUCCUUUAAGUAGAUAUUCAUGUUUUAAGUAUUCAAUUAAAAAUAUUUUCUUGAAGUCUGCUGCUGGUGUACAGAAAUGCUACUGAGUUUUUGAAACUUGACCUUGGUUCUAACACUGAAUUCUCAUUCUUAAUAACAUUACUGUACUCUCUUUCAUUUUUAUAGGGAGAUGAUAUUAUCAACUAUACAUAAUGACGGUUUUAUUUCUAAUUUCCUUAUCCUUACAUACUUUUACUUCUUUCUUCUUUCCAAUACCUUUGGUCAGUUCCUCUGGAACUAUGUUAAAUGGUAGUACUGACAGUAGGCAUUCUCAUCUUAUGCCUAAUCUUAAAGAGAAUAUAUCUAAUUUCUCACUUAAGCAUAAUGCUUGCUGAAGGUUUUUAAUAUAAAACCUUUACCAAAUUAAGAAAGGUUCUUAUUUCUAGCUUGUUAUGCAUUCUUACCAUAAAUAACUUUCAAACCCAUAAAAUGUUUUUUAUGCAUCUGUUAAAAUAAUCAUGUGAUAUUUAUCCUGGUAUAUUAAUGUUGUGAAUUAUAUAGAUAGAAUUUCUAAUGUUAAACCAUGCCUGCAUUACUAGUUUACACCCUACUUGACCAUGGUGCAUUGUUUUAAUACAUUACUGUAUUUGGUUAGCAAAUAUUUUAUUUAGGAUUUUAGAAUCUACAUUCUUAAGUGGAAUGUGCUAUACUUUUUUCUUCAUUUUCCUUGUCUGGUUUUGCAGUUAAGAUUACACUGGCCUUAUAAAAUGAGAUGAGCAGCUUUUACUCUUUUUCUAUUUUCUAGAAUAACUUUAUAUAAUAUGAAUUUACUGUUUCUUUAAUGUAUGUUAAAACUCAUAUGUAAAAGUAUCUGGUUGUGAGAUUUCUUUGAAUGCUAUUUAUGUCUUUAAUCCCUUUUGAUCUAUUCAAGUUUUCCCCUCAGCUUCUUCCAGUCCCCCUCUCAUGGGUACUGCUAACACCUGAUUGUCCUCCCACCUGCAGGUAUAAUAGCCCAGACCCACUUUCCUUUCAGUCAGGAAAUACCUAGACAAUCUCAGUGUCCACAUCUGAGCCAUGUAAUAGUCACUCUGUUUUGAGCUAAUGUCCUAACCCUGACCAGUGGGCUCUGAUCUGCCCAAUCUUGCUUGACUUAAACUGCCACUGACACAUACCUAAAUUAAUCCUGAACUCCAAUAGUUUUCUACUAUUCUAUAACCAGAAACUUUGGUUAACAAUGCUCUGAAUUGACUUCUUUACAUCUCUUAAAACCUUUGCCAUACUGCUGGUUACGUGUGUUAAGGUUGUGUAAAAGGUAAAUAUUUUGACAAAAGAACAAGUAAGGUUAUUAUGUUCAGGGAAGGUUAAGUGUUCGGAAAAAAAUAGGCAACCAUCCAGUCUAAUGUCCUGUAUAGUAUAUACCAAAUUGUAGUUAACUUUGGAAGAUUUUUACUUUAUCUCCAGAGUUUGACACUUUAUUGUAACCAUUUAUUAUCAGAAGAAUAAUUAAAUGUAUUUCCAUGUACAAAAAGAAAAAAGAGUAGAGAGCACAAGCAGGAAGUUCAUAGACCCACUAACAAAAAGAAAUGAUAAAUAAACAUAUAAUAGUUAUAAUUUUUGAUGCAUUUGAAUGUGUUUCUACCAUCUUAUUUCAGUUUUUCUUACACACUAUCAUACUAUAUCUUUAUUUCUUUUUAAUUCUUUAAAGAUAUAUAUUCUCCCCUAAAAAGAUUCUUGCUGGGGCAAAUUAUGUAUGAGACUUAGAGGUCUUAUUAAGGAAUUUAAAGAUUAGGUUUUAUUUUAACUCUACAAGAAGCCAUUGGUGGGUUUUGAACAUAGGAUUGAUGUAAUUUCUGAAAUUUAAAACAUCUUUGGAAAACAUUGGAUGAUAACUGUGACUUUAGUAUUUUGUUUUAAAAGCAACUCUUUAAAAGCCAUAAAAUAAUAGAUGUGUAAUUUUUACUAUAAAAAUUUUAAAUAAUUAGAAAGAUCUAUAAAUUAACUUUAAAAAGCACUUCAGAACCUCAGAACUAAUAGUUAGUAGCUACAACAAGGAAGAUGCUGAUUUUCUUAAUAUACAAAGAGUGUCAACAAUUCAAUAUGGAAAAGACAACCCAUUUUUAUAAGACUUGAACAUGUAAUUUAUCAAAGAAGAAAUGCAGAUGGCUAACAAACACGAAAAUGUUCCAUUUUCCAACCUCUCCCUUGUAUUGUAGUAACAUUUUUCUAGUGGUCAGUUGCUGCCUGUCAUGUUUUGCUAUUCUUUUCAUUCGCUUAGAGUAUCCUUGUUAUCAGUGCCGUGCUAGUCCUUUUCUUUAUUACUCAUGACCAAAUGUAAUGGUUUUACCUGGCAUGUAUGCGUGUGUGUGUGUGUGUUGGUGGAGAGGGUCCAGAGUAUUGUUCCCAAUUUGCUUUCCAAGGAACAGUCUUCUCUGCUGCCACAGACACAAAAUAUUUCCUGUAAAUAUGGCUUGUUUAUGUAUUCUGUGUGUAACCCCUACCUUCUUUACUUCUCUAAAUCUAACGGAGUCUACUGGAUUCUGCUGAUAACACAACUCACCUGUGUUCCCAUACCUGUGAUUAUAAACAAGGCCUGUAACAACUUAGGGUGUGUUAUGUACCUUCAGGGCAUAUUUUUUGCCAUCACUUUCUGAGAUCCACACCGUGGUGUCCUUUACCACUACAUUUCUCCAAAACUGCUUCUCUUCACUUACGCUCAUGUGGCUACUAUCAGGUCUCAGCUUCUUUUGCCUAUUUCAGAGUUUGGAGAUUACAACUGAAUCCUAAUAUUACUGAAAAUAUAUUUAAAUGUGUUUCUCCAUAAAGAAAGAAAAGGAAAGAGAGAGACACGGAGUGAUGGAUAGAAAGACACAGAGACAGAGAGAGAAGAGAGAAAAUGAAUAAAGCAAUCAACUCUAGGAGCAGAACUGAUCCAGAAAGCAAGAACUCUGGGAAACGUGUUAUAAAAUGACAGAAGGUGAAUUAUGAGCUGGCCAAAACAAACUUAAGAAAUACUUAUUUCAAAGUUGAAGUUGGAAAGAACAGAGAAGAGACUAGACAUUAUGGAAAGUACUUUUAAGGAAUAUAAAAGGUUAAAAUGAGAAGAAUAAACAAAAGAAGCCAAAGAAAGAAUAGAAUAAUCAUAGAAAAAAUUUUGUGUGUUAUGUCUAUAAAUAUUGAUAGAUAAAUUAAGAUAGACACU
rnacentral:lncRNA from 1 species